GCAGUGUCUUGAAGUACCCCCAAAGAUGCUAUAACUAUAACUCAUAAAGACAUUCCUGCCUCCACAAAGGACUCUACAUCAACGUUUUGAAAGAGGAAACGUGACGUCCUGGAGGGUAGAGAGAAGGCCUAUAUGAAAAAAACACAAAACGCCUUCAUGAUCUUCAGGAAGGAGGAAAUGUCCAAAGUCAAAGCUCAGCUCAAAUGGUUGGCGGAAUUAAGCUACCAUCUUUUCAGAGGUUACCCCCAUUGAGCCUCCUCCAGACAGCAGCAUGCACAUCUCGGCUGCUGAGAAGGAUGAAUGAGAUGAUGUCAUAGGCCAGAAUGAAGAUCAAACCCUCCAAAUCUCGUAGCCUGUCAGUCAGAAGGGGAGUCAGAAACGACUACACCACCUUUGUCGUGGGAGAAGAGAAAAUCUCCCUCCUGUCGGAGCAACCCGUCAAAAGCUUGGGGAGGCAGUACACCGCCGAACUGUCUGACAAACAGAUGGCAAGGACCGUCAUCAAACAGCUCACGGACGGCCUGGCAAUGAUCGACCAGAGCCAAGGUCAGGUCUGGUGCUACCAGCACAUACUCUACAGGAGAGUGAUGUGGCCCCUAAAAAUGAGUGAGAUCCCGUCCUCCGUUGUAAGUAAGAUGGAUGGAAAAGCCAACGCAUUCAUCAGAAAGUGGCUGGGACUGCCAAGGUGCCUUUCUGAAACGGGCCUCUUUGGGACGAAUGUACUACAUCUUCUAUUGCAGUCCGUCAGGCUGGUGCUCGAGCUAAGGGAGUCCACUGACCAGUCAGUGAGGAACGCCAACACCAAGGUUCCCACUGGCCGAAGGUGGAACGCCCAAGCUGAGGUUGACCAAGCCGUCAGCAGGCUGCAACAUCGAGAGAUCAUGGGCAAAGUCCAGGCAGGAAGAGCAGGGCUAGGAUGGAGAGGAGCGGCGGUUCUGGUCCAAGGCUAACCGUAAAGAGAGGAAGGAGAUGGUGGUGGCAGAGGUGUCGAGGAUAGAGGAAGAGCGCUAAAAGAUCAAGGCUGUGUCGCAGUGCCGACAAGGACGCUGGACAACCUGGGAGGGAGUUCUCAACUGCAAGAUCAGUUGGUCUGACCUGUGGAAGAUCCCACAGGCAAGGAUCAGUUUCCUCAUACGUGCUACUUACGACACGCUUCCCUGUCAUCGUAACCUUCAUCAAUGGUUCGGGAAUGAGGAAAACUGCGCACUCUGCAAUGCUCCCAACGCAAGCCUCCAGCAUAUCUUGUCAGGCUGCAAGAUCAUACUCUCCCAGGGCGCUAUAGAUGGCGUCACGACCAGGUCCUGGAGAAACUGGCUGAGGUGCUGGAGUGGUGUCGACUGGACAGCUAAGAACCAGCAGAGAACCACACCAUCUUUGUCAUGGAAGGGGGUGGACAAAGACACACCAGGCCAAGAGAGACAUCGAGGCCCUUCUGCCCCGACCAGGAGUGGGACAUGAGGGUUGAUCUCAACAAGCAGCUCCGGUUCCCCAUGGAGAUCACAGCUACAUCUCUCCGUCCUGACAUCAUGGAGUUGUCCAGCAGGGCAAGAGCGGUGCACCUCAUUGAACUGACAGUGCCAGCCGGACAGGGGAUUGAAGCCGCCUUUGAGUGCAAGAAGGCCAAGUAUGCAGAGCUGGCUGCAGAGUGCCAGGAGGCUGGCUGGAAGGAUACCAUCUACCCAGUGGAGGUUGGCCGCCGAGGCUACGUGGGGCUGUCAGCCACACGCCUUUUGAGGGACGCAGGACUGACUGGAGGGAAGCUGAGGAAAGCCAUAAAAUAUUUGGCAGAGGAGGCAGAGAAAGGCAUCUUUUGGGUCUGGCUGAGGAGGAAGGACAGAAGCUGGGGAAAGAACAACAAACCCCGACAGCAGCCACAGGGGGUAACAUCUAUUAGCUGCAGGGGGUGACAGGGAGACGUCUCUGUCACUGUUCCGCCACCAGGAGACGUUCUAGCGAUUAAAGGAGCGAAAGGUCGAGGAAUGGUGGUUCCGAGCUGAUGACCCUGCAGCUGACCCGUGGGCACCAGAGGAGGUGCGACAUGCAACAAUGCCAAGCAGGAAAGACCACCUACCUGUACAUCAACAGGAACAAUGCUGAGGCCAAUAAUGACGUGGGUCACAUGGGCAAAAGAAAGAGGAAGCAGAGAGCAACAGUCUCAAUAAGGAUCAAGCAAAGUGUUUGUCACUGUGUGACAGAAUAAAAUGCAGACCUGCCAACAUGAAUGCACUUUGCUGCUCCCUAGUAGGUUUCUUGGGAGUUUGUUGGAUGAUUGGCCAGACUGAGAACAACAGAGCGUCAAACAAGCAAGGUGACGAAUCAACACAACAACCAAGGAAGCCAGAUGUGCUUGAAAAUGAGUCUUUGCACAGCUGCUAGUUCCCAGCUUUGUGACUGCACUGCUGCUGCUGCAACAUGUGCAACCUGAAGACCCGAAGCACAAUGCUGGGAGUUUGCUUUCCAAAAUAAAGUGGACCUUGUAUUAAACUAUAACAUUGUCACAUUUGGACAAGCAGACAUAAAAUAUGACUUUCCAAUAAGUCAUGCCUAGCAAUUACUGUUUUAUAUGUAACACAAAGAUAACAAUUAAACAUGUUUUGUGAAUGUGAGUGUGAAUGUUGUCUGUUUAUCUGUGUUGGCCCUUGGAUGAGGUGGCGACUUGUCCUGGGUGUACCCCGCCUUCAGCCCGAAUGCACCCCAAGAGGGACAAGCGGUAGAAAAUGGAUGUAUGGAUCGAUGGUGUCUUUUAUUGACAAUUUCAUAAAAUACAUGAAAUGUUUUAUACUAUUGCAUAAUACUGUUUAUAUAUAUGGCCUGUUACAGUUAACA